AAUAUACCGGUUCUCGUUAGAUCACCGAAGUCAAGCAGCAUUGGGCGCGGUCAGUACUUGGAUGGGUGACCACUUGGGAACACCGCGUGCCGUU
rnacentral:rRNA from 1 species